rnacentral:rRNA from 1 species
AACGUAGGGGACAAGCGUUAUCCGGAUUUAUUGGGCGUAAAGAGCUCGUAGGCGGCUCGUCGCGUCGACCGUGAAAACCCGCGGCUUAACUGCGGGCUUGCGGUUGAUACGGGCGGGCUAGAGUUCGGUAGGGGAGACUGGAAUUCCUGGUGUAGCGGUGAAAUGCGCAGAUAUCAGGAGGAACACCGGUGGCGAAGGCGGGACUCUGGGCCGAUACUGACGCUGAGGAGCGAAAGCGUGGGGAGCAAACAGG